UAGGGAAUCUUCGGCAAUGGACGGAAGUCUGACCGAGCAACGCCGCGUGAGUGAAGAAGGUUUUCGGAUCGUAAAGCUCUGUUGUAAGAGAAGAACGAGUGUGAGAGUGGAAAGUUCACACUGUGACGGUAACUUACCAGAAAGGGACGGCUAACUACGUGCCAGCAGCCGCGGUAAUACGUAGGUCCCGAGCGUUAUCCGGAUUUAUUGGGCGUAAAGCGAGCGCAGGCGGUUAGAUAAGUCUGAAGUUAAAGGCUGUGGCUUAACCAUAGUACGCUUUGGAAACUGUUUAACUUGAGUGCAAGAGGGGAGAGUGGAAUUCCAUGUGUAGCGGUGAAAUGCGUAGAUAUAUGGAGGAACACCGGUGGCGAAAGCGGCUCUCUGGCUUGUAACUGACGCUGAGGCUCGAAAGCGUGGGGAGCAAACAGGAUUAGAUACCCUGGUAGUCCACGCCGUAAACGAUGAGUGCUAGGUGUUAGACCCUUUCCGGGGUUUAGUGCCGUAGCUAACGCAUUAAGCACUCCGCCUGGGGAGUACGACCGCAAGGUUG
rnacentral:rRNA from 1 species